AAAGAACCAAAGUCAACUACUGCCUCUCUGACAUACAUGCAGACUUCCCUUGUUCAUUUCUGGACCUCAAUUUCCUCAUCUACAAUAUGAAGAUAAUAAUCUCUGAUCUGACUACAUUGCAAGAUUAUUAUGAAGAUUAAAUAAGCUCCUCCAGGCAUCCUGAGGGGAAGAUGUAAAGAAUCAGAGCCAGAGGAUAAAUGGUGACUCUGUGGGUCCCGGAAACCCUUCAAGAUCUUUGAAAAUAAGGACUGCUAUAUCAUUCACUAUGUGUAUCCCCAUUCCUAUGCUACAGAGAGAAGAUCUGUCCUCUACAGCCACAGUGGAUAAGGGCAAAUUAGGAAUAAGAAAGAAGCAAUCUUAAGAGCAGAAAGAAAGUUGGGCUGUCCACUGGCAAGAAGGCCGCUAUCUGCAAACCAGGAAGAGAGCCCUCACCAGGAACCACAUUGGUCCACACCUUGAUCUUGGACUUCCCAGCCUUCAGGACCAUGAGAAAUAAAUCUCUGUUGCUUAAGCUGCAGUCUAUGGUAUUUUGUUAUAACAGCCCAAACUGACUAAAACACUAGUGGUGCAGCAUUAUUG
rnacentral:lncRNA from 1 species